AGAGUUUGAUCAUGGCUCAGAACGAACGUUAGCGGCGCGCCUAACACAUGCAAGUCGAACGCGACAGGGGCAACUCUGUUGAGUGGCGCACGGGUGAGUAACACGUAGGUAAUCUCCCCCCGAGUGGUGGAUAACCUUCCGAAAGGAGGGCUAAUACAGCAUAAGACCACGGCUUCGAAAGGAGCUGAGGUCAAAGCGGAGGAUCGCAAGACUUCGCGCUUGGGGAUGAGCCUGCGGCCCAUCAGGUAGUUGGCGGAGUAAAAGCCCACCAAGCCUAAGACGGGUAGCUGGUCUGAGAGGAUGAUCAGCCACACUGGAACUGAGACACGGUCCAGACUCCUACGGGAGGCAGCAGUGGGGAAUCUUGCGCAAUGGACGAAAGUCUGACGCAGCGACGCCGCGUGGGUGAUGAAGGCCUUCGGGUUGUAAAGCCCUGUGGGGAGGGACGAAUAAGUUCCAGCUAAUACCUGGAGCGAUGACGGUACCUCCUUAGCAAGCACCGGCUAACUCUGUGCCAGCAGCCGCGGUAAGACAGAGGGUGCAAACGUUGUUCGGAAUUACUGGGCGUAAAGCGCGUGUAGGCGGCCAUGCAAGUCGGAUGUGAAAGCCCUCGGCUCAACCGGGGGAAGUGCACUCGAAACUGCAAGGCUAGAGUCUCGGAGAGGAUCGUGGAAUUCUCGGUGUAGAGGUGAAAUUCGUAGAUAUCGAGAGGAACACCGGUGGCGAAGGCGGCGAUCUGGACGAUGACUGACGCUGAGACGCGAAAGCGUGGGGAGCAAACAGGAUUAGAUACCCUAGUAGUCC
rnacentral:rRNA from 1 species